GAAUGCGUUUUUUUUUUCUGGUCUCAGAUGGUGCCAUGGAAGUCCAGUACAUAGAUUUGGUCUUUACACACUACAAUGGAUAGUUGAGAUAAAUGGGAAACCAACUCCGGACCUAGAGGCUUUUCUAGUAGUAAAGGGACUGGAGCACGGAGAAUUUGUGAGAGUGAGGACAGUCCAUUUGAAUGGGAAGCCUCAUGUGCUGGCAUUGAAGCAGGACCUUCACUACCGGCCAACUUGGGAACUUAAAUUCGAUCCAGAAACGACAAUGUGGCGACGGAAUGUGAUAAAAAGCUUUGAGCGGUAGCCAAAUACCAGGAUCCAACACAACAUCCAAGUUAUGAAAAUUCACAUGCAAGAGCUCCGACACAAGUUUCAUCUUUAGCUCCAAGAAAUCAGUUGGACUCCAUAGGGUACCCUUAGAUCUUUUAGCCCAUUCAUCAACCUUCAACUCUUAACGUUUUUUUGACUCGGG